rnacentral:rRNA from 1 species
GAGUUUGAUCCUGGCUCAGAGUGAACGCUGGCGGCAGGCCUAACACAUGCAAGUCGAACGGCAGCGCAGCAGUAGCAAUACUGUGGGCGGCGAGUGGCGGACGGGUGAGGAAUACAUCGGAAUCUACCUCGUCGUGGGGGAUAACGUAGGGAAACUUACGCUAAUACCGCAUACGAACUACGGUUGAAAGCGGCGGACCGCAAGGCGUCGCGCGAUUGGAUGAGCCGAUGUCCGAUUAGCUAGUUGGCGGGGUAAAGGCCCACCAAGGCGACGAUCGGUAGCUGGUCUGAGAGGAUGAUCAGCCACACUGGAACUGAGACACGGUCCAGACUCCUACGGGAGGCAGCAGUGGGGAAUAUUGGACAAUGGGCGCAAGCCUGAUCCAGCCAUGCCGCGUGUGUGAAGAAGGCCUUCGGUUGUAAG